GGACUACCCGGGUUUCUAAUCCUGUUUGCUCCCCACGCUUUCGCACCUCAGCGUCAAUACUUGUCCAGUCAGUCGCCUUCGCCACUGGUGUUCUUCCGAAUAUCUACGAAUUUCACCUCUACACUCGGAAUUCCACUGACCUCUCCAAGAUUCUAGCUACCUAGUUUCGAAGGCAGUUCCGGGGUUGAGCCCCGGGCUUUCACCCCCGACUUGAAUAGCCGCCUACGUGCGCUUUACGCCCAGUAAUUCCGAACAACGCUAGCUCCCUCCGUAUUACCGCGGCGGCUGGCAC
rnacentral:rRNA from 1 species